AGCGAACGCUGGCGGCAGGCCUAACACAUGCAAGUCGAACGAAACCUUCGGGGUUAGUGGCGGACGGGUGAGUAACACGUGGGAACGUGCCUUUAGGCUCGGAAAAACUCAGGGAAACUUGUGCUAAUACCGAAUGUGCCCUUCGGGGGCAAGAUUCAUCGCCGUUAGAGCGGCGCGCGUUUGAUUAGCUAGUUGGUUGAGGUAAUGGCGCACGAAGGCGACGAUCAGUAGCUGGUCUGUGAGAAAGAACAGCCACAUUUGGACUGGGACUCGGCCCAAACUCCUACGGGAGGCAGCAGUGGGGAAUCUUGCGCAAUGGGCGAAAUCCUGACGCAGCCAUGCCGCGUGAGUGAUUUAGGUCGGAGGAUUGUAAAAUUCUUUCACCGGGGACGAUAAUGACGGUACCCGGAGAAGAAGCCCCGGCUAACUUCGUG
rnacentral:rRNA from 1 species